rnacentral:rRNA from 1 species
AUACGUAGGGGGCUAGCGUUGUCCGGAAUUACUGGGCGUAAAGGGUGCGUAGGCGGCGCCUUAAGUCAGAUGUGAAAUAUCCAUGCUUAACGUGGAGGGUGCAUUUGAAACUGGGGUGCUUGAGUGCAGGAGAGGAAAGUGGAAUUCCUAGUGUAGCGGUGAAAUGCGUAGAUAUUAGGAGGAACACCAGUGGCGAAGGCGACUUUCUGGACUGUAACUGACGCUGAGGCACGAAAGCGUGGGGAGCAAACAGGAUUAGAUACCCUGGUAGUCCACGCUGUAAACGAUGGAUACUAGGUGUAGGGGGCGAUAGCUCUCUGUGCCGCAGCAAACGCAAUAAGUAUCCCGCCUGGGGAGUACGAUCGCAAGGUUGA